AACGAACGCUGGCGGCAUGCCUAACACAUGCAAGUCGAACGAGACCUUCGGGUCUAGUGGCGCACGGGUGCGUAACGCGUGGGAACCUGCCCUUAGGUUCGGAAUAACUCCCCGACAGGGGUGCUAAUACCGGAUAAUGUCUUCGGACCAAAGAUUUAUCGCCUUUGGAUGGGCCCGCGUUGGAUUAGCUAGUUGGUAGGGUAAAAGCCUACCAAGGCGACGAUCCAUAGCUGGUCUGAGAGGAUGAUCAGCCACACUGGGACUGAGACACGGCCCAGACUCCUACGGGAGGCAGCAGUGGGGAAUAUUGGACAAUGGGCGAAAGCCUGAUCCAGCAAUGCCGCGUGAGUGAUGAAGGCCUUAGGGUUGUACAGCUCGUUUACCCGGGAUGAUAAUGACAGUACCGGGAGAAUAAGCUCCGGCUAACUCCGUG
rnacentral:rRNA from 1 species